UCUUGGAUUCUGGACAGAGCUCCCAAUUUGCUGUCAACAUUAGUUAGGCAUGGCUUGGGAUUUGGAUGAGGCUGAACCUAGGGAGUGAAUUCUUCUGUGUUUGAAACUGGGAAGACAAGGAAAAGCAAGGGCUGACACCAUUCCUGCCUAUGACUAACUUGCUGAUUUUAUAAGAGAAAUUCAAUUGCAUUAAGCCUUAUUUAGCCCAGCAAAAUGAAGGUGAUUACACUAUUUGAAAUCAGGGUCUUGGAACUAGAAACUUUUUGUCAUUUCUUCCAGAAAUAGGACACACCAUUGUAUGAUCCCGGUGUUUUUCAGUAAGUUAAAUGUUUGCAAAGGAAGGGACUGUUGACUAUUCUAAUGAAGACCGUUAAAAUAUCAUACUCAAAGUUGAAGGAGGAACAUUUUCAAGAUCAUUCAAGUUGAAUGAUCAGUGGAUUGGACAUUGAAAGGUUCUGCCCUCAGCUCAGCUGUUCACUGGACUCAUACCUUCUGUUUUUCAGAGGCUGGGGAUAUAACAAUGAAUAAAACAGAAAACAGGAAAAAAAAUGCGAUAAGAGAAGUAUCAAACUUCAGUAGAGAGAGCAAAUAUUUUCAGAUGUUGUUUGAUACUGGCUUUUAUAUUUUGAAAUAGUUUGUGUGAUUGAAUAAUUUUCUUGCUCCUUUUUUUCUUACACGUGUAGUUCAGAUGGUUCCUAGUAUGCUUGGCAACAUAGACAUUCUCAUAUAGACUCUGCCAGAUGGCCUGCUCAUUGUCUAAAUGCCUACUAGUUACAUCAUGCUAUAAUAGAUGUUAACACAGUUGUGGAGAGGAGGGUAAUGAUAGAUCCAUUAAGUAAGGGAUAUAGAGUGUUGGUCCGUUUGUUCCCCACCCCAACCCCUACCUUUUGGAAAACAUGAGUUAAACAAAGAAUAUAGUAAGUAAGUGUGCUACGAAGAAUGUUUAAUUUGGGGCUUCUGGAAAGAUAUUGUUCAAAGUGAAAAUAAAACCUUUCUAGAGAAUGCUAAAAUGAGUUCAGACUCAUAUCUGUCUUCCAUAAAUAUAUCUGCCCAAUCUGUCAAUGUUCUUGUAUAGUAAGACCAAAUGCAUUGUCCUGACCGUCAGUGCCCUGUGCCUUACCUUAUCUAGAUUGUAAUCCCUUUGAUGGCAGCAACCGUAUAAACUCUGUAAAUGCCACCUCGACUUCUCCUUUACUUUGCCUACCUGCAAACUCACUGGUCAUUUG